GAGGGAGGAAGGUCCUUGGAUUGUAAACCUCUUUUAUCAGGGAAGAAGUUCUGACGGUACCUGAUGAAUAAGCAUCGGCUAACUCCGUGCCAGCAGCCGCGGUAAUACGGAGGAUGCAAGCGUUAUCCGGAAUUAUUGGGCGUAAAGCGUCCGUAGGUGGUUAUGCAAGUCUGCCGUUAAAGAAUGGAGCUUAACUCCAUAGGAGCGGUGGAAACUGCAAGACUAGAGUACAGUAGGGGUAGCAGGAAUUCCCAGUGUAGCGGUGAAAUGCGUAGAUAUUGGGAAGAACAUCGGUGGCGAAAGCGUGCUACUGGGCUGAAACUGACACUGANGGAC
rnacentral:rRNA from 1 species